CAACAAUUCAGUUCUUUGUGUGUUCAGUGGGGAGCAGUGGCAUCUGUACACACCAGUGCACAAACACAUGCAGGGUCAGUUUGUUGUGUGUAUGUACUAUGAGUGCAGUGAUUCGUUUAUAGAGGUCACGCCACAUCCGCACUGUGGUUUAAUCACUGAGUUGUGACAAUUCCCAGUAAAUAACUCCUCUGUCCCCCUCUGUUUUACACCUCUCUGUGCAUAGAGAUUAGCCUGAGAAUCAAAUGACUGAAUAUCCGUCUAUUGAGCUCAGACUCGUGAAAACACAUGGCUAGUGUUAAGUGGGGCCACAUCAGAAAAAAUGGCACCCAUCAAUUGUACCCAUCUCUUUAGGCUGGGAAAUGCAGGAGGAUUACUGGACCAGUUAAUGUCAGGUUUGUCCAUGCCAGCAAUAAUCUUGAUUGGACUCCAUAAUGAUUAUCUGCAAAGAAUAUGUAGUGUUCAGGGUUUACAGUUCCUGCAUUAACCCGAACAAAUGACUUGCCCACUGAGGUUUGCUGUUGGCAAAGUCUCCCUAUCUCUCCAGGAUGAUUAUGUUGGCAGAUGGAGCAACAUGACAAGGGCACAGGAGCCAAUCCAUUCCCACCUUGUCAUCUGCAGGCAUUUCGAUCUGCCACAGUGCUCUUCCAUCUCGAUUAGGGGUGGCCUGCUGGCGGGAGACGAGUCAGUGUGUGUGUUAUGUGCAUGUAUGUGUGUGUCUGUAUGUGUGUGUAUGUGUGUGUGUUGGGGAAGUGCGGGCAUGUGUUCUAAGGCUGGACUAGCCUGUACUGCAACCUCCCCCCUCUUCCUCCUCCCUGUCAUCCUCCUGUCAAAGCCAAAGCCAUUGUCAUGGUGA
rnacentral:lncRNA from 1 species